CCUACGGGCGGCAGCAGUGAGGAAUAUUGGUCAAUGGGCGGAAGCCUGAACCAGCCAAGUCGCGUGAGGGAGUAAGGCCCUACGGGUCGUAAACCUCUUUUGCCGGGGAGCAGUGCCCAGCUCGUGAGCUGGGAGGGAGCGUACCCGUAGAAAAAGCAUCGGCUAACUCCGUGCCAGCACCCGCGGUAAUACGGAGGAGGCGAGGGUUAGCCGGAUUUAUUGGGUUUAAAGGGUGCGUUGGCGGGCCUUCAGGCCGGCGGGAAAAGUGCGGGGCUAAACCCCGCCGAGGCGUCGGAACCGGGGGCCUGGAGUGCCGGAGAAGUACGCGGAAUGCGUGGUGGAGCGGGGAAAUGCAUAGAUAUCACGCAGAACCCCGAUUGCGAAGGCAGCGUACCGGCCGUUCACUGACGCUGGGGCACGAAAGCGCGGGGAUCGAACAGGAUUAGAUACCCUUGUAGUC
rnacentral:rRNA from 1 species